CCUACGGGCGGCAGCAGUGGGGAAUAUUGCACAAUGGGGGAAACCCUGAUGCAGCGACGCCGCGUGAGUGAAGAAGUAUUUCGGUAUGUAAAGCUCUAUCAGCAGGGAAGAAAUAGCGACCUUUGGGUAGCCAGACGGUACCUGAUUAAGAAGCCCCGGCUAACUACGUGCCAGCAGCCGCGGUAAUACGUAGGGGGCAAGCGUUAUCCGGAUUUACUGGGUGUAAAGGGUGCGUAGAUGGCAGCGCAAGUCUGAAGUGAAAUGCCGGGGCUUAACCCCGGAACUGGUUGGGAAACUGUGCAGCUAGAGUGCAGGAGAGGUAAGUGGAAUUCCUAGGGUAGCGGUGAAAUGCGUAGAUAUUAGGAGGAACACCAGUGGCGAAGGCGGCUUACUGGACUGUAACUGACGUUGAGGCUCGAAAGCGUGGGGAGCAAACAGGAUUAGAUACCCUUGUAGUC
rnacentral:rRNA from 1 species